AGUGAACGCUGGCGGCAGGCCUAACACAUGCAAGUCGAACGGCAGCACAGGAGAGCUUGCUCUCUGGGUGGCGAGUGGCGGACGGGUGAGGAAUACAUCGGAAUCUACCUUUUCGUGGGGGAUAACGUAGGGAAACUUACGCUAAUACCGCAUACGACCUUCGGGUGAAAGCAGGGGACCUUCGGGCCUUGCGCGAUUAGAUGAGCCGAUGUCGGAUUAGCUAGUUGGUGAGGUAAAGGCUCACCAAGGCGACGAUCCGUAGCUGGUCUGAGAGGAUGAUCACCCACACUGGAACUGAGACACGGUCCAGACUCCUACGGGAGGCAGAAGUGGGGAAUAUUGGACAAUGGGCGCAAGCCUGAUCCAGCCAUGCCGCGUGGGUGAAGAAGGCCUUCGGGUUGUAAAGCCCCUUUGUUGGGAAAGAAAAGCAGUCGAUUAAUACUCGAUUGUUCUGACGGUACCCAAAGAAUAAGCACCGGCUAACUUCGUGCCAGCCGCCGCCGUAAAAC
rnacentral:rRNA from 1 species